GGGGCUGAGGCUCAGUGGAACAGCUUCUACUUUGCAAGCGGAAGAUCGCAGGUUCAAUCCCUGGCAUCUCCA
rnacentral:tRNA from 1 species